rnacentral:lncRNA from 1 species
AAUAGGCAGAGAUGAUAAAACUCCAGUGGAAUUAAAAAGAAUAAGAGCGGAGGAUCUAAAUCGUCAUGGAUGCGGGCAGAGAUGGAGUUAGGGUUUGGGUGAGCUGGGUUAGAGGGAACGGGAGGUGGAGGAGGCGGAGGACGGCUGUGGAGAAACAAUGUGGUGCUGAUGGUUGUCGGAGAGAUAGAAGAAGCAACAUCGAAGGAGAGAAAGAUUUGGAAAUAAUUUUUUUUGCCAGAACCAAAAUUUGGCUAAGUAUUGACACUAAUAAAGAAACCUAGGCUCGAAAACUCACUUUCGCUUCCCGCUUAGUGAAAAUACGAUUUAGCACUAAUAAAAUGCUAUUAUAAAGUAUCAUAUUCCAGAAUAUCAUCUUUAAUAACAGUUUGUAAAUCAAUGCUAUUGUAAUGUGCUAUUAAUGUUUCUUUUUUUUUGUAGUGGUCGCGCUUAGGAAACUUAGAUCGGUUUCUUAGCAAAGACGUUUUUCGUUUAUCUUCUCCACAGUCGGUGCCAAAAUGUAGAUCCUGAAAUCUACACUAAGUAUUUGAUAGUGAUCGGAGUUUAAUCUAGGGAAGAUAAAAUGAUGUAGGCAACAAUAUCUUUAGAACACAACGAUGUAAUCAGUUUCCAGUAAGCAAAGAUGAAUUUUAUUGAUGAAUAAGGGUUAAUACAACGGGUGAAUUAAGAUCGAACGUUACAAACGAGAUCAAUAAGAUAAAAGACUAAAGCUAGAUGAAAACAAGGUCGAUAUGUGGGUGUAGCUCUCUCUAGGGUUUUCAGCGUGCCCCCUUUCGUGUGCCUUUAUUUCUUCUUAUAGUGAGCUGCUUCCACGGUCUCCGCAACUGCUCCGCGAUCUUCGGUUCGUUGAAUCGAUCUCUUCUCGUUUCGUCGACGUUGGGCUUCCUCGUGGUCGUCUGGCCCAAGCCAUUCAGGCUCAAUUACCUAAUUGUCCGGAAUUGGGUCCAACAAUAUGGCAUCUGAGUGCAUUAUUCGUUUAUAUAAUAUACCUUGUUAAUAAAACAAGUACCUUUAUAUAAUACUUCAUCCGUUCCUUAAUGAUAGACUUUUUAGAAAAAAAGUUUGUGAAAGAUAUAUUUUUUGUGUUUUCUAUGAAAAAAUUGUAAACUUCAAGAAAAUUAAUUGACUUUAUUGAAUCACUAUUGGUUAAAAAUUAUCGAAAAUUGAAAAUUACAUAAAACAAUACAUUUAUUAUGGUAGUUUAAUGUGUUUUCUUAAUAUGUGUGAAAAUACUAAAAAAUCUAUCUUUGUGAAACCGAUGGAGUAUGAUACAACAGAGAAAAUAUAAUUGAAGUAGACCAUGGCUUAUUAAUUCAUAUUUACGAACCGAACAAUAGCAUAAACUUUUAGAUCAGUUAUACCAUUUGAUAAGUUUGUUCAGUUUAUAACAGAGAACUAAAUCUCGAUCCAAGCAACCGCGCAGAUUUUUAUUUUCAUUUAUUUUUAUAUAAAUAUUUUGUUUUCAAUUCUAAAUUGGUAUAUUAUAAUAUAUAUGUGUCUAUCAAUUUUUAAAACAUAAUAAGUUUACGGUAUAUUUUUUCAUUGAAUAGAUUGUUUCAAACUUUCACAUGUAUUUGUAUCUUCUUCAAUAUAUAUAUUUUCAGAUUAUUAUUUCAUUAUUAAAAUCGUAACAAUAUAUAUAAAGAUUAGUAAAAUAUUGUUUUACUGUCAUAUUCAAAGAUAUUUUAACAUUCAAAAAAUUAGGAAGUUUUUAAAAAAUUAAACUUUUCGUUUCAUAGAUUUAUAUUAUCGAGUAAAUAAUUAAAAAUUUAGUUCUUGUUUAAUUUUUAAAAUAAACUAUAUAGUUUAAAAUUUGUUUUCAUUGGUUCAAGGUAGUAAAGAUUAAUCAUUGUUAGAUAAUAUGAUUUUUGUUAUUAAAAAUUUUUUUUAUGAUUUUAAAAGUUAACAUCGACAAAUAUUUAAUUAAUUAACAUAUGGAGGUAUAGUAUUACAACAUUAAAUUAUAUCUAUUUAAUUUAUACUAUCUAUAAAUCCAAUGAAUCAUCUAUUGCUUAAAUCCAAUUAUUGAUAGACCAAUAAAAAUAUUUGUUAGGCCCAAAAUUUAAAUGAUAAGAUUGGAGAUUAAAUGUAACAUGUCUUUCUAGGAAUAGGUCCAUUAAAUCCAUUUUUAAAAAAAAAUCACACAUAAAUCAAGGUUGUGACUUCUGUUUUAAUAUAUAAGAUAAUGGUUGUAGCAGUAGCGGUCCUGACCGGAAACAACAGAAACACAUGCUUCGGGUAUUAUAUAUAGCUUUUGGUUUGGGCUCUUGUUGGUUUCCUAAAAGGGUGCAAGUUUGAAUCCAUUUAACAUCUCAUUUAUUUUUUCAUAAUAGUUUUUUUUAUGAGAUGUGAAAUUUAUUGAUCAAUGUAAAAAGAAUAUGGUUUUACACAAAAAACCUAUAGAGAAAAAUUUACAAGGCUAAAAAGAAUGAAUGUAAGCUCCAAUGAAUUAUGCGGAGAUUUCGAACCAAUGGCUCGUCAAGCCGACAAGCCUGUGGUUUACUCUGUAACGCAAUGAGGUAAUCUUUGCGGUAGCCUUUUAGAUGUUUCCUCUCAUUCCUCUCUUUCCAUAUAUAGUAAAUGCAGGUCAUGGAACAGCAUUUUUACCAGGAUCUUAUCCAUACUACGAAGAUCAUUUUGAUUUGGUCUAGGACCGGUCCCUUGCAAGACCAGAUGGAUCUCUAUUCUAUUAAAAUAGUUUCAUUCUAAAAAAUUGACUGUAGAAAAUUGUUAUACCAAUUCAUUAGUAAUUUAAUAUGACUUAUUUUAUAUUUGUCUUAAUCAAUCAAAAAUAUAAUUUUUAAAGAAAAUAGCAAACAAUAUACUUUUGAAAGACGGUAAUCCUCCAUUUUCUUAAACAACAAAAUCUUCCUAUACCAUAUCUAAACAAUAAUGAAUACAAAAUCUUUUCAAAUCUUUUAAUAAGUAACGUUGUAGAUUAGAGUCUCUUAUUGAUAAAAUAAUCAUAUAAAUAAAUAUUGUAAUUAAACUUAAAUUCAAAAAAUUAAAUCAUCAAUCACAUAAUAACACAUGUUAAACAAAGCUCUUAACUUUGUGUGAAGUGUUCUCAAACAAGAGCAUUUUCUACUUUCUCUCUUAAUUUGUAUUUAAUUUUUCUUUAUUUUUAAUCAAAGAACACACUCGAGAACACAUCCAAUGUGGACUCAGACUCAUAUCUCUGUAAGAAUCAAAUACUAUUUUCUUAAAUGGCAAAGACAAAUGUGUACAUAAACAUAUUGGAUGAAUGUUUACUGAAAUCAAACACUUUCUCAAAUUAGUUGAGUAUCAUGUAAAUGUAUAACUAAUAUAAACAAAGUUAAUUGAAUAUCCUAAAACUCUGACUCGCGUAGCCCAUAUCUUAUCAACAUCAAACACGUUUUCUUUCUCCCAAUCACAGAGUCAAUAUAUUGAACACCAAAUUUCAUUUUGAUGUUAAUUAUUUGUACCAAAACAAUAAAAAUAAAACCACGCUAAUCACGGAUUAAUGGUAGUUAUUAUUUAAAUAACAGACCCAUAUUUUAUAGGUAUUCCGAGCCUUAAAUAUUUCAAGGUCCAGCCUAGUCGUCAGCCAAUUUGAUGUAGUAUUAGUCUAUUGUGCUUAUACUAUUUGAGAUUUCUCGUAACUAUAACCCAAAAUCACGUGUGAAAACAGAAGAAAGUAUCAUACAUUUAAAUGAGUCUACAAACAUCAUACUAUGCACCAGAUACCAGACCAUCAUAUCUUUUGAGAUUUCUGCAGCAUCAUUGAAGCGAAAUAUACUCUUGUAUAUUUUUUGUUACCGAAUUCAACAUCCAAAAUGACACAUGCAGACUGUAAAAUAGAUAGAUUAAUAAAAUCAAUUGAAACACACACAUACAUAUCAACAUUCUAUUUACAAUUUAUGAUUUUAUCCAAAUCAAUAAACAUUAAAAGUACAAAAAAAGUUAACGGUAGAUAACCACAAGCGAAAACACUUGCGGUCCAACUCUUAGUAACUAUAACAUGUAGUAAAAUCACUAAAAAUGAAAGAAAGACUAUACUUAAUCUUGUUAACGAGAAAGAGGGAGGCAGAAAGAGAUCUUGUAGUUCUUUCUUGCCUUUCAAGCAGUUGCUUAGUGAUUGCGGCACGUUGGAAUUUCCAUUUAUUGGGAAUAUGCUUUUUAGGGUUGGAAAAAGGUCAGGUGGAGCAACUGUUAGAUGCCGUUUAGAUAGAGCGGUGGAGAAUGAGGAUUGACAUGAGAAGUUUCCACAUACAGCUAGCAAGUAUCUCAGGCUCUGGGGUUUGGACCAUCGUCAGAUCCUAGCAGAUAUUUUCUCAAAACCAGUGAGAAAGAAAAAAAAAAUUCAAAUUUGAUAAACGCUGGUUGGAUAAUGAGGAACUAAGACAAGUCAUUCUCGAGGGAUGAAAAUCAGAGGACCUGCCUCCUGAUGCGAAUAUAAUGGAACAUAUUGAUAGUUGUCGAAAAGCUUUGAGUCAGUGGAGGAGACAAAUCAAUGUGAACUCAGAAAAACUAGUGGAAGAGCUUAAAGAAAAUAUGGAAGAUCUAUACUCGAAUGAUGAUGCAGCUCUAAAAGAACUAUCUAAUGCUCUUAAGGCAGAAGAGAUGUUUUGGAGACAGAAGAGUAGGGUUCUUUGGUUAAGGGAAGGUGACAGAAAUUCAAAAUACUUCCAUGCGCUAGUGAAACAAAGAAGGGCAAGAAAUAGUAUCACACAGCUUCUAGAUGAAAAUGGAAAUAUGGUGGAGGAUGAAGAAGGAUUAGUAGCCAUUGCUACUAGCUACUUCAGACAAAUUUUUGAGUCUUCAAAUCCGGAAGAUAUAGCAGAUGCGUUGGAAAAUGUCUCGACAACGAUUACUGGGGCAAUAAAUGAGGAUCUCACAGCUCCAGUAACUGAAUGGAAAGUUAAAUUAGCUAUAUUCUCCAUGCACCCAGAGAAAGCCCCAGGACCCGAUGGGAUGACAGCCCUAUUCUAUCAGAAGUCUUGGGGUACUGUCAAAGAGGAUUUAACUCGUAUGGUUAAUCAGUUUCUUUUUGAAGGAACAAUGGCUCAGGAGCUAAAUGAUACCAAUAUCUGCCUAAUUCCUAAAACGACUAAGCCAAACGAAAUGACAAAGUUUAGACCUAUCAGUCUAUGUAACGUCAGCUAUAAAAUAAUUUCUAAGGUCUUAUGCCAAAGAUUAAAGAAGAUUCUUUCCCAACGGAUAUCUGAAACCCAGUCAGCCUUUGUUGCGGAUAGACAAAUUACAGAUAAUAUAAUGAUAAAUCAGGAGAUGUUCCACGCACUGAGAACUAAGCCAGCUGGAAGAGUUAAGAGAAUGUCCAUCAAAACGAAUAUGAGUAAAGCAUAUGAUAGGAUGGAAUGGUCAUUCAUUUAGGCGGUUAUGCGGAAGAUGGGUUUCUCAAAGAUUUGGAUUGACUGGAUUUUGAGAUGCAUCACCUCGGUUAAGUACAGAGUUCUGAUGAAUGGAAAACCAAGGGGAAAUAUUUUUUCAGGAAGAGGUUUACGUCAAGGAGAUCCUUUGUCUCCUUUCAUAUUUAUUCUAUGCACAGGAGCGCUCGUUAGCUUUCUAAAUCAUGCAGAGAAUCAAUGAAAGAUAACGGGGAUGCGAGUCGCACGCACUAGCCCCCCGGUAUCGCACCUUCUCUUUGCUGAUGAUAGCCUUUUCUUCUGUAAGGCGGAGCCCCGUGAAUGUGAAGAAGUUAUGAAAGUAGUCAGGAAGUAUGGAAAAGCAUCAGGACAAUGUAUCAACUUUGAUAAAUCUGCAUUACUCUUUGGUAAGAGGAUUGCAGCGAAUGAUAGAAAACAAAUUAAAGACACACUUGGAAUCCAGAAUGAAGGGGGAAUGGACACAUACUUAGGAAUACCAGAGGAUAUCAGCGGAUCUAAGUGUAAGCUCUUCGCUUUCCUAAAAGAAAAACUACUACAUAGAGUGAAUGAUUGGACAGGUAGAUGGCUAUCAAAAGGAGGGAAUGAAGUUUUGAUUAAAUCUAUUCUCCUAGCUCUUCCUACAUAUGUAAUGUCCAUCUUUUUGCUUCCUUUGGAGAUCUGCGAGAACCUUGCAAGUGCCAUAGCACAAUUCUGGUGGAGUUCAAACCCACCAAAACGAGGGAUUCACUGGGCUAAAUGGGAAAAGAUGUGUGCUCCCAGAGAGGAUGGUGUAAUUGGUUUCUGUAUGAUCCAUGAAUUUAAUUUAGCUCUUCUAGCGAAGCAGCUCUGGCGUCUUGUUCAAUACCCAGAUUCAUUAGUGGCGAGAGUUCUUCAGGGAAAAUAUUACCGCCUCAGUUCGCCCUUGCGAAUUGGCGCGGUGGAUAACCCAUCUUAUGUGUGGACGAGUAUUUCAGCGGCAAGGAAGCUUUUACUUUUGAGUAUCAGGAGUAAAAUGCAUUCAGGAUAUGAAGUCAAUGUCUGGCAGGAUCCAUGGAUUCCUUCAACGCCAGCUAGGCCGGCACGAACCAGGGCCCAAUAGUAAAUCCGAAGAUGCUUGUAAGUAGCCUUAUUAAUUUUGAAUCAAAGGAGUGAGACGCUCGAAUACCGGCACAAUAUAUUGAUCAAGAGGACAUACUGAUAAUUAUGAGUUUGGCCAUAAGCCCGACCCAUCAACGGGAUUCAUUCUGCUGGAGCUACACUAAAAAUGGUCAAUAUACUGUUAAGUCUGGAUACUGGGUUGCUACAAAUAUUUUGACAGCAGAGGAGGAAACAUAAGUUCUACAGCCUAGCAUAACUGAACUCAAAGCCUUUGCUUGGAAAGUGAACGCACCAGAAAAAAUUCGUCAUCUUAUAUGGCAAUUAAUUUCAGGGCAGGUACCAGUAGCAAAGAAUUUAAUACGUCGUAAUAUGCGGUGUGAUAAUUAUUGUCCAAGAUGUGGAGAGCCAGUUGAAAAUGUUACUCACGCGAUCUUUGAAUGCCCACCAGCAUUACAAGCAUGGGCACUAUCAUCAACGCCGUCAAGUUCUCAAAUAUUCCCUAUAUCAAGUAUGUACGCCAAUAUGGAUUAUCUUUUCUGGAGGAAGAAUACAAUUUGGAGGCCGGAAGAUGAUAGAGACCCUUACCCCUAGAUAAUCUGGUACAUCUGGAAGACAAAGAAUGAUAAGCUAUUCAGAGGGAUAGAUAGGGACCCUUUGGAAUUAGCCAGAUAUGCAGAGAGUGAGUGCCAGACUUGGUAUAAUGCUAAGGAUUCUAUACCUACUCCUCCACAGACACCAAUUGUUGAAGAAACACAAGCCUUAAUCUUGGAUAAUAUUUGUAUGGUGGAUGGUUCAUGGACAUCUACAGAUCAAUUCAGCGGCAAUGGAUGGGUUUGGAAGGACAACACGGGAAAAAUCCAACUUAUGGGGACACGGAACUUAAGAAGGCUGGAGACAUCAUUACACUCGGAACUGGAAGCGUUGAAAUGGGCGAUGGAGAGCAUGCUUCAGCAUUCAACCUGCCAAAGUUUUGGGACAGAUUGUAAGGACCUGAUCGCGAUGAUAAAGGACCCCCAAGCAUGGCCAAACUUUUCAACAGAGCUGGAAGUUAUUCAAAUUAUCCUGAUGUGCUAUUCGGAUUUCAAGAUCACCUACGUGCCCAGAACGAAGAAUGAAAUUACUGAUUCUUUAGCUAGGAAUGCUCGUUUUUUUCAUAGAUCUCUAUGUUUUAUUGGUUUUUCUAUUCAGGUCUGGUUACCCAGAUCACCUCAUGUUUGGAUAAUAGAAUAGCCGUUUGUUGGCAAAAAAAAAAAAAAAAUCUUGUUAACCGAAUAAGCUUGAGUAAUGCUCUUUCUUUCUCCUUAGAGUCUCCAUCUCUACACUUAAGUCGAAUAGGCAGAGAUGAUAAAACUCCAGUGGAAUUAAAAAGAAUAAGAGCGGAGGAUCUAAAUCGUCAUGGAUGCGGGCAGAGAUGGAGUUAGGGUUUGGGUGAGCUGGGUUAGAGGGAACGGGAGGUGGAGGAGGCGGAGGACGGCUGUGGAGAAACAAUGUGGUGCUGAUGGUUGUCGGAGAGAUAGAAGAAGCAACAUCGAAGGAGAGAAAGAUUUGGAAAUAAUUUUUUUUGCCAG